CAGUAGCCGCGGGAAUACGUAGGUGGCAAGCGUUGUCCGGAAUUAUUGGGCGUAAAGCGCGCGCAGGCGGAUAGGUCAGUCUGUCUUAAAAGUUCGGGGCUUAACCCCGUGAUGGGAUGGAAACUGCCAAUCUAGAGUAUCGGAGAGGAAAGUGGAAUUCCUAGUGUAGCGGUGAAAUGCGUAGAUAUUAGGAAGAACACCAGUGGCGAAGGCGACUUUCUGGAUGAAAACUGACGCUGAGGCGCGAAAGCCAGGGGAGCGAACGGGAUUAGAUACCCCAGUAGUCCCUGUCUUUAUACAC
rnacentral:rRNA from 1 species